GGCAACCACGCCGGGGCCGGGACGACCUGAAACACUUAAUUGUAUUGUAUAUGCGGAACACACAUUGAGGGAAGACGUGUAUUUUCCCUGGUGGAGUUCAACAGUACCGAGAAAUGGAGAACUAGACGUUCCUAGGGCCUACGUCUCCUUCGCCUCUAAAGACUUUCAACCUCUGGAAGCAUCUCCAAGAAGUGGAAGGUAUUUGUUCCGAGUUUGUUUUGUUUGGAUGCAGCGGUAUCCAAGGAGAAAAGAAGAGAGGACAUGUAGAAGAGGCAGGACAGGACCCAUCCUCCCCUCUCUGCCCAUAUAUAAGGGACUGGUUUUGAGGCUGUGAGGACAGAAACUCAGAUGGUAAGGAUAUUCUUGAAGCCUUGGUGAAAACACCGACAAACACGUGCGGGAAUCGCUGCAGAGUCAUCAGAUAAGAAGUACCUCAGGGAAGAAGCUCUGCCUGGCCGGUGAGAAGCCUGUAUUCCCCUCAGUGUUCAUUCAUCAUCUGAUGCCCGGAAGCAUUGCUGCGUUUUGUUGUGUUCCUUCGGGUAAGACUCUCCAGUCCGAACGUGGUUGCCUCCUUGGGUUAUGCCUUCUGAUCUGGCCACCCACAGAAGUUCUUCAGGUGGUGAGGAAAAAUGUCAUAGAAGCUCUCGGGCUCUGUGCUGCUCACCCUCAUCUCAGCAGAUGUGAAACACUCGCUGGCAAGAGCCUUUCUUCUUGCUCUAGCGAUACCCGCAUCACUUUUGGGUUCUGAAAGAAAAACCAAGGAAGGCUCAAGGAAGGAGUAGGGAAAAGUACUCAGAGUAAAUGCACUAAAAAUGUAAUUUCUCGUGGAAGACAGCCAUGGUUCUUAUUUCCAGCGACUUUCUAAUUAUAAACUGCUGGUUGCACUAGAGCCCUGCCAAAUCGCAUGGCAUUUAUCCCUCACCUCACAACCAACAAAUGCACAUGUGUAACUACACAUGGUGAGUUCUAUAAAUAAAAA